rnacentral:rRNA from 1 species
UACAGAGGGUGCGAGCGUUAAUCGGAAUUACUGGGCGUAAAGCGCGCGUAGGCGGCUUUGCAAGUCGAGUGUGAAAUCCCCAGGCUUAACCUGGGAACUGCAUUCGAGACUGCGUAGCUAGAGUAUGGGAGAGGGAAGUGGAAUUUCAGGUGUAGCGGUGAAAUGCGUAGAUAUCUGAAGGAACAUCAGUGGCGAAAGCGACUUCCUGGACCAAUACUGACGCUCAUGUGCGAAAGCGUGGGGAGCAAACAGG